UAUAACUUAUUUUGGAAUGUUAUAGUUGUAAUAUUUUAUGAAAGUGUGAACAUCCCACUUGUACCUAUAACCUUCAAAGAAUCUUUAAGCGCUGCAUGAUUAAAAUAUGUAUUUAAAAAAGUAAUAUUACAGUUUUGAGUGGCUGGUGAUUAGUUUCCGAGGCAACUAACCAGACGAGUAACAAAAACAGACUUUAGUGCCGUGUUACAUUUUACAUGAUUUUCGAAAUCGACCAGAUUAAAAAAUACUUGUAAAAAUAUUAGGAAUUGUGCCGAGCAGAAUAGGUUAUGUGGGCGAUACACAGCUGAAUAAUCUUAUUUUUUGAAAAUCGGCAUGCAAAUCUUAUUUCUUCCCAUUUAUUUAUAUUAAUGAGCAGUCUUCGUCGCAGCAACAGUUAAUGUCGCAAAACA